rnacentral:rRNA from 1 species
GAUCCACCCGCACGUAUAGAUGGACAAGAAUAGGCUUCGGCUUAGCGUCUUAGCAGGCGAUUCUUCCGCGGCGCUCGAAGCGCGUCGUGGUAUUUCGCGUAUUGUAAUUUCAACACGAGCGGGGUCAAAUCCUUUGCAGACGACUUAGCUGUGCGAAACGGUCCUGUAAGCAGUAGAGUAGCCUUGUUGUUACGAUCUGCUGAGGGUAAGCCGUCCUUCGCCUCGAUUU